rnacentral:rRNA from 1 species
GAUGAACGCUGGCGGCGUGCCUAACACAUGCAAGUCGAACGAUGAAGCCCAGCUUGCUGGGUGGAUUAGUGGCGAACGGGUGAGUAACACGUGAGUAACCUGCCCUUGACUCUGGGAUAAGCCCGGGAAACUGGGUCUAAUACCGGAUAGGAGCGCCUGUCGCAUGACGGGUGCUGGAAAGAUUUUUCGGUCAUGGAUGGACUCGCGGCCUAUCAGCUUGUUGGUGAGGUAAUGGCUCACCAAGGCGACGACGGGUAGCCGGCCUGAGAGGGUGACCGGCCACACUGGGACUGAGACACGGCCCAGACUCCUACGGGAGGCAGCAGUGGGGAAUAUUGCACAAUGGGCGGAAGCCCUGAUGCAGCGACGCCGCGUGAGGGAUGACGGCCCUUUCGGGUUGUAAACCUCCUU